rnacentral:rRNA from 1 species
GAACGAACGCUGGCGGCAGGCCUAACACAUGCAAGUCGAACGCUGCAGCAAUGCAGAGUGGCAGACGGGUGAGUAACGCGUGGGGAACCUUCCCAGUGGUACGGAAUAGCCCAGGGAAACUUGGGGUAAUACCGGUAUAACGGCCCCUAGGGGGAAAGAUUUAUCGCCAUUGGAUGGGCCCGCGUCGGAUUAGCUAGUUGGUGAGGUAACGGCUCACCAAGGCAACGAUCCGUAGCUGGUUUGAGAGAAUGACCAGCCACACUGGGACUGAGACACGGCCCAGACUCCUACGGGAGGCAGCAGUGGGGAAUCUUGGAC